GGGACGAACGCUGGCGGCGUGCUUAACACAUGCAAGUCGAGCGGAAAGGCCCUUCGGGGUACUCGAGCGGCGAACGGGUGAGUAACACGUGAGCAAUCUGCCCUUAGCUUCGGGAUAGCUCCGGGAAACCGGAAUUAAUACCGAAUACGACCACGGCCGACAUCAGCUGUGGUGGAAAGUUUUUCGGCUAGGGAUGAGCUCGCGGCCUAUCAGCUUGUUGGUGGGGUAACGGCCUACCAAGGCGACGACGGGUA
rnacentral:rRNA from 1 species